rnacentral:rRNA from 1 species
UGGGCGUAAAGCGUCCGCAGGCGGCCUUUCAAGUCUGCUGUUAAAACGUGGAGCUUAACUCCAUCAUGGCAGUGGAAACUGUUGGGCUUGAGUGUGGUAGGGGCAGAGGGAAUUCCCGGUGUAGCGGUGAAAUGCGUAGAUAUCGGGAAGAACACCAGUGGCGAAGGCGCUCUGCUGGGCCAUAACUGACGCUCAUGGACGAAAGCCAGGGGAGCGAAAGGGAUUAGAUACCCCUGUAGUCCUGGCCGUAAACGAUGAACACUAGGUGUCGGGGGAAUCGACCCCCUCGGUGUCGUAGCCAACGCGUUAAGUGUUCCGCCUGGGGAGUACGCACGCAAGUGUGAAACUCAAAGGAAUUGACGGGGGCCCGCACAAGCGGUGGAGUAUGUGGUUUAAUUCGAUGCAACGCGAAGAACCUUACCAGGGUUUGACAUCCUGCGAAUCUCUUGGAAACGAGAGAGUGCCCUCGGGAACGCAGUGACAGGUGGUGCAUGGCUGUCGUCAGCUCGUGUCGUGAGAUGUUGGGUUAAGUCCCGCAACGAGCGCAACCCACGUCUUUAGUUGCCAGCAUUUAGUUGGGCACUCUAGAGAGACCGCCGGUGAUAAACCGGAGGAAGGUGUGGAUGACGUCAAGUCAUCAUGCCCCUUACAUCCUGGGCUACACACGUACUACAAUGCUACGGACAAAGAGCAGCAAGUUCGCGAGGACAAGCAAAUCUCAUAAACCGUGGCUCAGUUCAGAUCGUAGGCUGCAACUCGCCUACGUGAAGGAGGAAUCGCUAGUAAUCGCAGGUCAGCAUACUGCGGUGAAUACGUUCCCGGGCCUUGUACACACCGCCCGUCACACCAUGGAAGUUGGCCACGCCCGAAGCCGUUACUCCAACCCUUGUGGAGGAGGACGUCGAAGGUGGGGCUGAUGACUGGGGUGAAGUCGUAACAAGGUAGCCGUACCGGAAGGUGCGGCUG